AUGGCGAUGGUCCUAGAUGCUUUUGCGUCCUAUGUGCUAAACAUGCUAACGGAGAUGGCGAGGGAAGAGGUGCACAUGCUGCUUGGAUUCAGACGGGAGAUCGACAAGAUGGACAUUAAACUUAGGGACCUCAAAAACUUCCUCGCCGAUGCUGACAAGAGAAACAUCACCGACAAGAGUGUGCAAGAGUGGGUGGGCGAGCUCAAGCGUGCCAUGUAUGAAGUUGCUGAUAUACUUGACCUCUGCCAGCUCAAGGCCAUGGAGCGCCGUCCGUCCACUUUAGAUAUGUGGUGCUUCAACCCCUUGCUCUUUUGCAUGCGGAAUCCCUCCCAUGCCCACGACAUCGGCACCCGCAUCAAGGCGCUCAACAAGAGGCUCGACACCAUCAAGGAGCAAAGCACUGCUUUCAGCUUCAUCAAUCUUAGUGCCUACGAGGAUCGUAGCAGCAAGGUGCAAACAUCUAAUUCUGGUAAUACCAGCCGUGAGACCUCAGGAGGGUUUGAUCGGUUGGGUGUAGUUGGGGAGAAGAUCGAAGAGGACACCAGAAAGCUGGUUGAGAUCAUGCUGACUGAAAAGGAGGGAAAUACCAACAUCAUGGUGGUCGCUAUUGUUGGCGUAGGCGGGAUCGGUAAGACCACCCUUGCCCAGAAGGUCUUCAGUGAUGAAACCGUUAAGGACGAGUUUGACAAGACGAUAUGGUUGAGCAUCAACCAGAACAUUGAUAAGGUUGAGUUGCUCAGGACAAUCAUCACGCUCGCAGGGGGCAUACACGGAGGUGAAAAGGCGUUGGCUGUGCUUCAGCCAAUCCUUAGUACUGCCUUGACAGGGAAAAAGCUAUUGCUGGUGCUAGAUGAUGUGUGGAGCCACGGAGCAUGGGGUGAUAUCCUUGAAAUACCAUUGGCUAAUGUUGUCGCCCAAGGUAGUCGAGUCCUUGUCACUACUAGAGAUGAAAGAGUUGCCCGAGGGAUGAAAGCUGUGCUUCCUUACCACCACAUCGACAAAUUAGGGGAGGAGGAUGCCUGGUUAUUGCUCAAAAAACAGAUAGUCUCAAGUGAAAUAAAUGAACAUGAAGUUGAUACGCUCAAAGAUAUUGGGCUGAAAAUUAUAGCGAAAUGUGAUGGUUUGCCUCUUGCUGUUAAAGUAAUGGGAGGACUCUUGUGUCAAAAGGACAAUAAGCGCCGUGACUGGGAGAUGGUUCUGGAUGAUUCCAUAUGGUCAGUAUCUGGAAUGCCUGAAGUGCUAAACCAUGCAGUACAUUUAAGCUAUGAAGAUUUACCUUCUUGCAUCAAGCAAUGCUUUCUAUGCUACUCCCUUCUCCCCAAAACUGCAUUGUUUGGAAGAGAUGACAUAAUUGGCAUGUGGAUUAGUGAAGGAUUUCUUCAUGGACCCUCAGACGACUUAGAAGAAUUAGGGAGCAAGUACUAUAAGGAGCUGAUACUGAGGAACCUUAUAGAGCCAAAUGCACAGUACCUUGAUCAAUGUGUCUGCAACAUGCAUGAUGUUGUGCGCUCAUUUGCUCAAUUUGUGGCUAGAGAUGAGGCAUUGACAGCUCUCAGUGGAGAAACUAAUAUUGAUAGUAAACUUAGUGCACAUAAAUUUCUUCGAUUAUCUCUUGAAAGCAAAGCAUCAGAAUCAGAUGGGCUAGACUGGAGUUCUUUAGAAGCACAAAAGACAUUGAGAACACUAAUAUCAGUUGGCCAUAUAAAUAUGAAGUCUAGUGAUUCAUUGGUUCAUUUUCCAUGUCUACGGACACUACAUAUUGAUUCUGCACAUGAUGUUAGAUUGGUAGAAUCUUUGCAUGAAUUCAAGCACCUGCGGUACUUGUCCUUACAGAACUCUGAUAUAUCUUGUCUGCCAGAUAGCAUUGGUAAGAUGAAAUUUUUGCAGUACAUUAACCUUAGAGGAUGCCAGCAAUUUGUGGAACUUCCACAUAGCAUUGUAAAGUUAUGGAAGCUAAGGUAUCUUAACUUCAAUAAAACAAGUAUAAGUGGCAUACCUAGGGGGUUCUGUGAUCUGAAAAAUUUGAGGAUAAUACAUGGGUUUCCAGCUCGGAUAGAUGGUGAGUGGUGCAGUGUGGAAGAGUUGGGCCCUCUUUAUCGGCUCAAGCAUGUUGGAAUACAGGGGUUAGAGAAUUUAACUACUUCCUCGUCUGCAGCAAAGGCAAAGCUUGGUGAGAAGGUGCAUCUUACCAACCUAGACUUAACAUGCAGUAGUAUAUUGGGUGACAAUGGGCUGAUUAGAGAGGAAGAUAUGGUCUCUGAGGAAGAGCAACAACGAAUAGAGAAGGUGUUUGAUGAGCUCUGCCCUCCGCCCAGGUUAGAAUAUCUUGCCAUUGAAGGAUAUUUUGGCCGAUGGCUCCCAAGGUGGAUGAUGUCAUCAUCAGCUGUGCCCCUAAAGAGCUUGAGAACUUUGAUGAUUGACGACCUGGCUUGCUGCACACAGCUUCCUGAUGGCUUAUGUCAGCUCCCUUAUUUGGAGUUCAUUCAGAUCAACCGUGCUCCAGCCAUCAAGCGUGUUGGACCAGAUUUCCUGCAAUCCUACCAUCAGCACAGCCCUCGUCCUUCCCAGGUGGUUAUCGCAUUUCCGAGAUUGCAUGUGAUGAAUUUAGCGGGAAUGGUGGAAUGGGAAGAGUGGGAGUGGGAGGAGCAAGUGCAAGCCUUUCCUGUCUUACAGAAUCUUGCGCUAAUUAGCUGUAAAUUGCGGCGUCUUCCUCCGGGCCUUGCCUACCAGGCAAGAGCUUUGAAUGUAUUGUCCAUACAACAAGUCCAGGGUCUCAGCUCUCUAGAGAACUUUGGAUCUCUGGUCGAGCUGGAAGUGGCUGGAGGCCUUGACCUAGAGAGGAUCACUAAUCUCCCCAGACUAAAGAAGCUUACCAUCAAGAACUGCUCAAAGGUGAAGUUGCUAGAAGGUGUUCCUGCACUCCAGACUCUCGUGCUCGUGGAUUUAGACAUGGAGACAAUCCCAGAAUACAUGAGAGGUAUAAAUGCAAGGCAUUUGGAGCUCUACUGCAGCCUAGCACUGCUCGCUUCCAUAGCCGCCGGGCAAUCUGGUCCUUUGUGGGACAAGUUCAGCCAUGUUGAGCAUGUCAAGGCAUAUGCACAGGAAGGAGAUACUCCAAGAAAAUGGUUUGUCCUGUACACAGCUAAUCCCUACAACUUGGAGACAAAUGUCAGCCGCUCUUUCAUGUCCAGAGGAACCUUAUCUUCUUUUGAGGACACACAAAGAUUUGAAUCAAUCUUCAGAAUGACAAGAAAAACCUUUAGCUACAUCUGCAGCUUGGUGUGUGUGCCGUCAUUGGAAGAUAUGAACAGGUAUACCUUUGUCGACGGGAGGGUACUCUGCCUGGAAGAUCGAGUGGCCAUUGCUCUAAGAAUGUUGUACUCUAGCGAGCCACCGGAGACUUUAGGAUCCUCUGUUGAUGUAAACAAGUCAAUCAUCUUGUUGGUAACUGAGAGGUUUAUUGAUGCUGUGUUCAAACGAGCAAGGCACCACUUGUGCUGGCCAGACUCCAGUAAAAUGGAUAAGAUCAAAUCCAUGUUUGGCAAGAUCUACAAUAUGCAUAACUGUUGCGGUGUUAUAUAUACAACUCACAUCCCAUUUGGACCAAACCGCGACCAUGAGAAAAAUGGCAGCAUUCAAAUGCAAGUCGUCGUUGAUACAGAGACAAGGUUCAUGAACAUUUGGUUGGAAUUGGCAGAUAGCAUGACCCAGUUGAGCAUUUUGCAUGACUCUGAAAUCUUUGAGGGGUGCGAGAAGCGUGAUUGGCUGAAUGGCAGCAAGCUGAAGGCAGCAUUAGAUGGGUCAGAAGUCAGGGAAUACAUAAUUGGUGAUGCAGGAUACCCUCUUCUCUCAUGGCUAAUCACACCUUACCAGGAAGACCUCUCAGACUCCAAGGUAGAGUUCAAUAGGAGACACUCUGCAGCCACAACCUGCGCGCCAAAGGCGCUGGCGUGGUUCCAAGAUACAUGGAAGUACCUGCAGGGAGAUGCGUGGUGGCCGGUCAAUCCGGAAACUAUGUCUAAGAUUAUCUGUGCCUUCUGCAUGUUGCAUAACAUAGUCAUAGAUAUGGAGGAGGAUGCAGCAGUGCAGAACAUUGAGAAUGUUCGCCGGUUGAAAAAUGAAGAUGCCGUCAGGGUAAGGGAUAUGCUGUUACAACACUUCUUGAUUGGAAGGUCAUCUGAAUCAGGAGUUGGCUCAGUAGAUACAGAGGAGGACGAAGAAUUAGCUGCAUCAUUAUCCAGAAGCUCAUCAUUAUCCCAGACUCCUAGUGGCUCAGGAGAUGAAGACAAGGAACAAGAAGCACAGAGAAGAACAGAUUGCUAA
rnacentral:rRNA from 1 species